GAGGGAUUAGCUCAAUGGUAGAGUACCCGUUUUACACUCGGGUGGUUAAGUGUUCAAAUCACUUAUUCCUUA
rnacentral:tRNA from 1 species